UACAGAGGUCCCAAGCGUUGUUCGGAUUUACUGGGCGUAAAGGGUGCGUAGGUGGCGAGGUAAGUUCGAUGUGAAAUCUCCGAGCUCAACUCGGAAAUGGCAUUGAAUACUAUCCCGCUUGAGGGUCGGAGGGGAGACUGGAAUUCUCGGUGUAGCAGUGAAAUGCGUAGAUAUCGAGAGGAACACCAGUGGCGAAGGCGAGUCUCUGGACGACUCCUGACACUGAGGCACGAAAAGCUGGGGGAGCAAACAGG
rnacentral:rRNA from 1 species